CCAAUGGAAAAUUUGAAAGAAACAUGAAACAUGAGAAAAAACUUUCCUUCUCUUCUCCUGCCUAAUCCUUUCUUCAAUUAAUUAAACAACAAAAACUAAACCCCGCACAACAACAUGUUUAAGAGCCGGCCAUGAUUGCCAAGUCGUUAAGACAUACUUUCUCUCCUUCCUCCAAACACCGUUGACUUGAAGCUACCCACAUGCUUGCUUCAACUCCUCUCAUGACCCCAACAAAAACCCACUUCAAGUUUCAAUUUUUGUGCCCAACCCUUUUCCCAUAAGCUUUGGAUUACAUUAUAGUUCAAUAUUUGAUUCAUUCUUUUCUAGCUUCCCAUUUCUCAUUAUUGCCCAAAAUGAGCUUUUUCUGUUAUCUUGACAACUUUUGAGUUUUCAUUGACUAGUUGAGCACAAAUCCAGCCUUUUCAGUUCAUUUAACUUGUCAUCAAUGCCGGACAUGAGCAAAAAGAAGAUCAAAUUUAGCAGUUCUUGGUCAUUGGUGUUAUGGGUCAUUUUUGCUUUUAGUUUGUUACGUUUCGUCCAGUGUCAGGAUGUGGGUGACUAUAAUGAAGUCGACAAUCCUGCUGUUCUUCCUCUCCUCACCCAGCUUGUCUAUAGCAGGCUAUCAAAUUUGACUGCUGUUCUCAGUAGAGAGAUCAGUAACCGGUCCAAUUUCUGCGUGAAGGAUCCGGAAGCUGAUUGGAAUCAAGCAUUCAAUUUUUCUUCCAAUUUGGAUUUCUUGGCUACUUGCAUUCAAAAAACUAAAGGAGAUAUCACACGAAGGAUAUGUACAGCAGCAGAAAUGAAAUUUUACUUCAAUAGUUUCUUUGAGCCAUCAACACAUGACAAUUAUUUGAAACCUAACAAGAACUGCAAUUUAACCUCAUGGGUUUCUGGUUGUGAGCCAGGAUGGGCUUGCAGCGUUGGUCAGGACCAGCCAGUUGACCUUGAAAAUUCACAUAACAUUCCUGCAAGAUCUCGCAACUGUCAGACUUGUUGUGAGGGUUUUUUCUGUCCUCAUGGUAUUACAUGCAUGAUACGUAAGUAUUUGAGAAUGCUAAAAAUUCUUUCUUGCUAGUUCAUGUGGGAAUUGAGAAUCCUUCAAAUGCUAAUUUAUCUUAUUUGGAAUUGCUGUGAGUAUUUGGCGGUACUAAGUUCUAGGUGUUAUAUAUCUUUUUGUCACCUGAAACCAGAAGCUUGAAUUAUGAUUCAUGCUUUAUAAUUAUAUAUUACUAGGUCAUCAUUUAUAUAAAACAGAAGAAGAAAUGUUACUUUAUGUAGUUUCUCCAGUCUACCAUUUAGUUUACUACUUUAUCGCUUCGUAUAUCCCAAGAAUCAAGUUGGAAUGUUGCUUGAUUGAUGUGUAUGUAUGUGUAUUUUCUGGUCGAUCUCUGAUUAUUUUUCUUCUUGUGCCAUCGUUAUUAUUUUCUGAAGCUUGCCCACUAGGUUCCUAUUGCCCACUUGCAAAACUCAAUAACACAACUGGUGUAUGUGAACCAUAUCAUUAUCAACUACCUCCAGGACAGCCAAACCAUACUUGUGGAGGAGCAAACAUAUGGGCUGAUGUUGGUAGUAGUAGUGAGAUAUUCUGUUCAGCAGGAUCAUACUGUCCGACAACAGUCCAGAAAAAUUCUUGCAGUAGUGGGUAUUAGUUUUUCCCCAACCUCUCUUAUCCUUUUGCUGGUUAUGACUAUUCAGUGUGAUGUGUUGACAAUCAGGCUGUAAUAUUUUAACAUUGUAGUUACGGCAUUGAUGUGUGGUUUUGAUGACAAUUAAACAUUUCUGGCUGUCUUUCAUGUUUGUUUGCUGAUGCUAUCUCAUGUCUUUAUGCAAUUUCAGACAUUAUUGCAGGAUGGGUUCCACAUCUGAGAAACGUAAGGAUUUUAUUAUUCUUUUUAUUUUCAUCAACAUUGUUAUUAUUAAAUUUUCCGGCUGUUGUGCAUGUGCACAUGCCUGUGCUGUGUUUCAGAUUUAUUGAAGGUUCAGGAUUCAUAUACAUGCCAUUAUUAUAUAUCUUGUUUUUGUGUCUGGAGUUUUGCAUUUCUUCUCUGCUGUAUCGCUGAAUUUGACCCUUGCCUAUUAACUUGUAGGUUGUUUCAAAUUGACUUCAUGCAAAGCAAACUCUACAAGUCAAAAUAUUCAUGCAUAUGGAAUAAUGCUCAUGGUCGCUUUGACUACAGUGUUACUCAUUAUUUACAACUGCUCUGAUCAAGUUAUCACCACUCGAGAGAGGAGACUGGCCAAAUCUAGGGAAGCAGGGGCAAGAAGUGCAAGGGAAACAGCAAGAGCACGUCAAAGGUGGAAAGUUGCAAAAGAUGCUGCUAAGAAACAUGCAAGUGGAUUGCAAACUCAUCUCUCACGGACUUUUUCUCGUAAAAAAUAUGGAAAAUAUCCUGAACAAUUUAAGAUUUUGAAUCAAGAUAAAUCUGAGAUGGAAGUUGAUUUAUAUCCGCCUUCACACUCGAGUAAUUUUUCUAUUUCUACAUCUCUGCCAUCAUCUGCACCAUCAAAAGGAAAAAAAAAGGAACCUAUUGACCUCAUGCAAAUGAUGCAUGAAAUUGAGGUUGACCCUGAUGGUUAUGAGGGUAUCAAUCUUGAAGUUGCUGAUCCAAAUCCUACAAGACAUAUGCCAGAGGGAGAACAAAUGACUACUCAUACCCAGAUUUUUAAGUAUGCUUAUGCUCAACUUGAGAAAGAGAAAGCUAUGGAGCUAGAGAACAAGAAUCUUACCUUCUCAGGAGUAGUUAAUAUGGCUAUUAAUACUGAAAUCAAGAGAAGGCCUUUAAUUGAGAUUUCAUUCAAAGAACUAACCCUUACUUUGAAAGCCAAGAACAAGCAUCUUUUAAGGGGUGUAACUGGAAAAAUAAAGCCUGGCCGUAUUACAGCCGUCAUGGGUCCAUCAGGAGCUGGAAAGACAACCUUUCUUUCUGCUCUUGCUGGAAAACCAAUUGGAUGCAGGAUGACUGGUUUGAUUCUUAUAAAUGGAAAAAAUCAAUCCAUCCACUCAUAUAAGAAAAUCAUUGGUUUUGUUCCACAAGAUGAUAUUGUACAUGGAAACUUAACUGUGGAAGAGAAUCUCUGGUUCAGUGCUCAUUGCAGACUAUCUGCUGACUUGCCAAAGCCGGAUAAGGUUCUGAUUGUUGAAAGAGUCAUUGAGUCUUUGGGGCUACAGACAGUGCGAGACUCCUUGGUUGGAACGGUAGAAAAGCGAGGAAUUUCAGGAGGCCAGAAGAAGCGAGUAAAUGUUGGACUGGAAAUGGUAAUGGAACCUUCACUUUUGAUCUUAGAUGAACCCACAUCUGGUCUAGACAGUGCAUCAUCUCAGCUUCUUCUUAAAGCACUUCGGCGUGAAGCUCUUGAAGGGGUCAACAUCUGCAUGGUUGUUCACCAACCAAGCUACACCUUGUUCAAAAUGUUCGAUGACUUAGUACUGCUGGCAAAAGGUGGCCUUAUUGUCUAUCAUGGUCCAGCGAAGAAAGUUGAAGAAUACUUUGCUGGCCUUGGGAUUAAUGUGCCAGAGCGUGUUAAUCCCCCUGACCACUAUAUUGACAUUUUGGAGGGUAUAGUGACGCCGAGUCCAAGCUCAGGUGUGAAUUAUAAGGAACUUCCUAUCAGAUGGAUGCUUCAUAAUGGGUACCCCAUACCCCCAGAUAUGCAGCGGUAUGCUGCUGGACUUGCAUCUCCAGUGGACAUAAAUCCAGCGGAUGAAUCAAACCUUGGUGGUUUUGGAAUGGAGGAACAAUCUUUUGCAGGGGAAUUGUGGCAAGAUAUGAAAAGUCAUGUGGAGUUGCACAGGGAUAAGAUACGACAUAAUUUUUUAAAGUCCAGGGACUUGUCAAAUCGGAGAACUCCAGGUGUUUUCUGGCAAUACAGAUACUUCCUUGGCAGAGUAGGUAAACAGCGACUAAGGGAAGCUAAAAUACAGGCAAUAGAUUAUUUGAUCUUAUUGCUUGCUGGAGUCUGCCUGGGAUCCUUGGCAAAAGUAAACGAUCAAACUUUUGGGGCUGCUGGUUACACAUAUACCAUUAUUGCAGUUUCUCUCCUUUGCAAAAUUGCGGCUUUGAGAUCGUUUUCUCUUGAUAAGUUACAAUACUGGAGAGAGAGCGCAUCUGGCAUCAGCAGCUUGGCUUACUUUCUUGCCAAGGAUACAAUUGAUCAUUUUAAUACAGUGAUUAAGCCUGUACUGUAUCUCUCUAUGUUCUAUUCUUUCACAAACCCAAGGUCUUCCUUCACCGAUAAUUAUGUUGUCCUGCUGUGCCUUAUUUACUGUGUAACUGGUAUAGCCUAUGCAUUGGCUAUCUUUUUUGAACCAGGUCCGGCCCAACUGUGGUCAGUUAUUCUUCCAGUUGUUUUGACUCUCAUUGCAACACAAUCAAACCAGAGUAAUACCUUGAAGAACAUAGCUAAUUUAUGCUACCCAAAAUGGGCUCUGGAAGCAUUUGUGAUUGCAAAUGCUGAGAGGUAUUAUGGAGUGUGGUUAAUUACUCGUUGUGGUUCACUUCUGAAAACUGGGUAUAAUCUCCAUCACUGGGGUCUUUGUGUAUUCAUUCUCAUCCUCAUCGGCAUGGUUACUCGUUUUGUGGCAUUCUUUGGUAUGGUAACAUUCAAAAAGAAGUAGAGUUUCACACUUUCAACUCCAUUCUUUUGGCAUUGUAAACUCCUGGUAUCUACUUACAAAUGUGGAAUUCUGCAACAUCAGGAGGCAGUGCCACCUUAAAAAUUCAGUACAAUGAUACAAAAAUUAAGGGUAGUUAAUGAUGCAUAACUAGUGCAGCAUUAUAAUAAUAGUUUGUUUUCUUAGGUUUUCUCAUUUAUACUAUUGUAGGUCAUCCAUUCUUGUAAAAAUAGUUGAUAUAAUGAUUCUCCUUAUCUUUGGUGUGAUAAAGUCACAGAAUUGCAUGGCUAUAAAUCUACUGUUCAUUGUGAUUACAAAUUUACAAAUGUUAGAUGGC
rnacentral:misc_RNA from 1 species